AUUGAACGCUGGCGGCAGGCCUAACACAUGCAAGUCGAGCGGAUGAAGGGAGCUUUCUCCUGGAUUCAGCGGCGGACGGGUGAGUAAUUCCUAGGAAUCUGCCUGGUAUUGGGGGAUAACGUCCGGACACGGGCGCUAAUACCGCAUACGUCCUGAGGUAGAAAGGGGGGGAUCUUCGGACCUCACACUACCAGAUGACCCUAGGUCGGAUUAGCUAGUUGGUGGGGUAAAGGCCUACCAAGGCGACGAUCCGUAGCUGAUCUGAGAGGCUGAUCAGUCACACUGGAACUGAGACACGGUCCAGACUCCUACGGGAGGCAGCAGUGGGGAAUCUUCGACAAUGGGCGAAAGCCUGAUGCAGCAAUGCCGCGUGUGUGAAGAAGGUCUUCGGAUUGUAAAGCACUUUAAGUUGGGAGGAAGGGAAGUAUGUUAAUACCUUCAUAUUUUGACGUUACCAACAGAAAAAGCAACGGCUAACUUCGUG
rnacentral:rRNA from 1 species